CAGAGACAAGAAGGCUGUGAAGAUGUGAGAAUGGACAUGAAGCACCUGGAACAUUCUGGAACACUCCUUACAAAUCCUGCACCAACACCACUAAUGAAGAGAAGUUGAAUGGAGAUAAAACAGGAGGUGCCAGCAUUAUGGGAUGGCGGUGUAAACUGUGUGCAUUUGUCGCAUCAUCAAAAGGAAUUUCGAUCAUUAUGGAGUGAAGCAUGGUCCUGUUGGUCAUGGAUAUUUAGUGUCCUGUGUUCAUUUAGACUGUCAUUGCUUCUUUUAGACCUGAGAAGGU